CGCGUAGGUAACCUGCCUGGUAGCGGGGGAUAACUAUUGGAAACGAUAGCUAAUACCGCAUAAGAACAUUUACUGCAUGGUAGAUGUUUAAAAGGUGCAAAUGCAUCACUACCAGAUGGACCUGCGUUGUAUUAGCUAGUAGGUGAGGUAACGGCUCACCUAGGCGACGAUACAUAGCCGACCUGAGAGGGUGAUCGGCCACACUGGGACUGAGACACGGCCCAG
rnacentral:rRNA from 1 species